rnacentral:rRNA from 1 species
CUCCUGGAACGGGUGGUAAUGCCGGAUGCUCCGCCCCCUCGCAUGGGGGGUCGGGAAGGCUUUUGCGGAAUGGGAUGGGGUCGCGUCCUAUCAGCUUGUUGGCGGGGCGACGGCCCACCAAGGCUUCGACGGGUAGCCGGCCUGAGAGGGCGACCGGCCACAUUGGGACUGAGAUACGGCCCAGACUCCUACGGGAGGCAGCAGUGGGGAAUAUUGCACAAUGGGGGGAACCCUGAUGCAGCGACGCCGCGUGCGGGAUGGAGGCCUUCGGGUCGUGAACCGCUUUUGAUUGGGAGCAAGCGUGAGUGAGUGUACCUUUCGAAUAAGCACCGGCUAACUACGUGCCAGCAGCCGCGGUAAUACGUAGGGUGCAAGCGUUGUCCGGAAUCAUUGGGCGUAAAGGGCUCGUAGGCGGUUCGUCGCGUCCGGUGUGAAAGCCCAUCGCUUAACGGUGGGUCUGCGCCGGGUACGGGCGGGCUUGAGUGCGGCAGGGGAGGCUGGAAUUCCCGGUGUAACGGUUGGAAUGUGUAGAUAUCGGGAAGAACACC